UGUUUCAGAUUCUGCUUUUACCAACGCCUUUUUUACGUUCGUCCGUUUUGUUCCUCUAGUUUCUACCUUCUGUACUGUAACUACUGUAUUGUUUGUUGUUUGUUAUCCUGGUAGUUGUCAUCCAGCUUGAUAGUUAAUAUGUGUAAUUUUCGUUUAAUUUUAUAACAAUAGUUAGUGAUAUAAUCGUAUAACAGACAGUUAUGAAGCUCUGCGUGGUGAACUCACUCAUUUUAUCUAUUUUCAUUCUGAUAUGUUGUGAAAAUUAUGUUCAAUCAGCAUCUACUGAUAUCGAACUUGAUGCCAAAGCUCAAUUAACUCAUCGCUUGGACAGUCUAAACCUUUUAGUGUACACCUUUUUACUCAUAUUAACAGUUUUGACAAUAUGGUUAUUCAAGCACAGAAGGCUUCGUUUUCUUCACGAAACAGGACUUGCAGUGAUUUAUGGUCUGAUAGUUGGUGCCUUGAUCCGCUACGUCGGCAGUUCUACUCCAGUGAUCCAUAUGGCGGUGGUGCCGGUGAAGGCAGACAAAUACAACGAGUCACUUCCUCCUGACUCCCUGUGGCUACAGUUCUCCAACAAGGGGGGAUCUGGCUCUGAAGUCAACAGGACGUACGCUUACGGCUUCCGUGGCGAAGUGGUUCAUUUGGAGACUAAUGAGAUGGACCUGAAGGCUACUUUCGACCCAGAGAUAUUUUUCAACAUUAUCUUACCUCCAAUUAUAUUCCAUGCUGGUUACUCAUUGAAAAGGAAAUAUUUCUUCAGAAACCUCGGUGCAAUUUUGACAUACGCUCUUGUAGGAACUACAAUAUCGUCUUUUGUUGUUGGAUCGCUUAUGUACGGGUUCCUCAAGCUGAUUCCCCACCUAAAGGACAGCUUCACCUUCCUGGACAGUUUGUACUUCGGAGCUCUCAUCUCCCCCACCGACCCUCUCACUAUCCUCGCCAUCUUCAACGACCUCCGCGUGGACGUCACACUAUACUCGCUGGUGUUCGGAGAGAGUGUGCUCAAUGACGCUGUCGCCAUUGUACUCAGUGGAGCGAUACAAAACUACGCUGAGAGAUACCAGACAGGAGCUGGAGGGUUUGAGAUUGACGCCUUCUUCAGAGCUAUGAGGGACUUUGUAGGGAUCUUCUCUGUGUCUUUGUUCAUUGGAGCAACUAUGGGCUGCAUCACGGCACUUAUGACCAAGUUCACCCGAGUGAAGGACUUUCCACUGUUGGAAUCUGCGCUGUUCUUCCUCAUGUCUUACAGUACGUUCCUGAUAGCAGAAGCCUCUGAUCUUACAGGCGUGGUGGCGGUGCUGUUCUGUGGGAUAUUCCAGGCACAUUACACCUACAACAACCUGUCCAGAGAUUCACGAAAACGCACCAAGAGACUGUUCGAACUCCUCAACUUCCUCGCUGAAAACUUCAUCUUCUGCUACAUCGGAGUCUCUAUGUUCACCUUCCCCAAUCAUCAUUUUGAUCCUGGCUUCAUCCUCUCUGGAUUUGUUUGUGCUGCUUUGGGUCGAGCUGCUAACAUCUAUCCUCUCUCAUUCCUGAUCAAUCUGGGGAGGAAACCGAAAAUUGAAAUGAACUUUCAGCAUAUGCUUUUCUUUGCUGGACUGAGGGGUGCCAUGUCGUUUGCCCUGGCUAUCCGCAACACAGCGUCAGAAGCCAGACAAGCUAUGUUGACCACCACCUCUAUCAUUGUGAUAGCCACUGUCAUCAUACAGGGAGGUGCCACCAUGCAACUGCUCACUUGGUUCAGGAUACCCGUUGGGGUAGAGGAGGAGGUGGAAAUGCUGCCUUACACUGGGCCUCGUAGCGCUUCAUACAAUUCUUUUGGACAGGUCGGACAGGAGGAGCCAGGCAGUCGUCCUGGCAGUUCCCAUGACAAGGCGUGGCUAGCCAAGGCAUGGGGUGACCUGGACACUAGGUACAUGAAGCCACUACUGACUCACGCACGUCCCACACUGCUGGAGACCCUGCCUGUGUGCUGUGGACCGGUGGCGCGACUACUCACCACCACCGAGCAACUAACACAGGAUCGCACCCACAGGUCGAAUUCUGACUCUGACCUAUGUUUGGAGGAGACGGAAAUUAACGCAGCCGGUGACUCGACUGUCUCGGCAUUCCCUCGGCCUAGGGAGGACAGGGACCUCCACAGUCCUGUCAGUGUAGAAGCACACAACUUCAUGUAGGACACGCCUUAAUUUGAUUGAGACAAGCAAUUUUCAUAAUCAAAAGCCGAGUGUUUUGCAACAACAAUCUGCCUCUCGACGUAAGGUUCUCGGGAUCACCGGCCACUCUCUUAUGAAUGUAUUGUUAGUUGUUUGCCUUUUUUGUUGAGUUGUUUGUAUAUUUUAUAUUCCUGACUUGUACAUAGUUGUAGGUGUUAAGUUUAUUGAUAUUAGUUUAAGUAGCACUUGGUUUAGAGCAAACUUAUCUAAAGAGUACUUAAUUAUAGGAUCAUAUUAUAUCUUUGUUUGUAAAACUGAUGUGCACUCAAAGAUAAAUUAUUCAUUUGAAAUAUGAUAUCAGCACAUACAAAUUUUUAAGUGCUACAGAUCUGGUAUAGUACGUACUAAUUAUUUCACUCUUCUGAUUUGCUUAGUGAAAUUUUCCCUUAAGGAAUCAGAAAAAAUAAUGUUACAAAGCGCUAUUUUUUUUGUAUCAAAGCCGGCCUUUCUUUUUUUGCUGUAACAAGUUUUCAAAUGCUUUUAGAAAAAAAAAUCAAACCUCUAAAAGUAAUCUGGCUAUCUCAGUAACCAAACUGUUCAAGGUUAAUGUGCCAAUAUGAUACUAUACAGCAAGCUGGUCUAGUCAUAGAGCGCGGGUCCCCGAUUCAAAUCCAGCCAUUCUCCCAAUGGAUUUCAUCCAACUGACAAUGCCGCGAAUCUCUAGACCUAGCCUAAAGUGAUGUGUAAAAUAAUUCCGGGCUAGAACCAAGGUUUGAAAAAUACAGUACUAUAAUAAAUAGGCUAAUAAAACACUUUAAGAGUCUUAAUAUAUACAUUUGCUUUUUAAAUAGUAUUUUGAACUACUACAGCUUUACACGUACCUUAUUAGUGAACUAAGUGUUGACUUCUGAAGUCUGUACUCUUAUCAGUUCAUCAGCUUUACCCUGAUUACUGAAGUUAGAACUGUUACAAUAGUAUAUUACGUUACUAGUCCUGAAAAUAGGUGUACGGAUGAGUGUGGUCGUUCCUGUGGUAGACAAAGUUGAGUGCGGGAUUACCAUACGAGUGCGUUAAACACAUUUUGGACGAGUGAUGUACGAUAUUUUACCCCAUACUACUCUAAGCUAACUUAACAAUAAAACAUCUGUACAAAUCCUUAUAUAUUACCACGGACUAAAGGACUAACAAUCGCUACUCAUGACCUCUAAGAGAGGUUAUGUUUUUGUUUAUAACCACACAUUGCCAAAUAUAAUCAGCUUGUUAGUGUCCGGUAAAAACUCAUUAAAGUACAGUAGUACGUGGAUGAAACUCCAUUUGAUUUAGCUGGCGGCAAAAAGCUGUUUUCUCGACUAAAUCCUUGCGUGGGAAGAUUUGUUAAAACAGUGUAGUGUGGGGUAAAACUAUUUUAUUGUAUCCUAAAUUAUUAUGUAUCCAAUAAUCUUUGAGUGUUCAUUGGUUUUGAAUAUCUUGUGUAAUAGUUAGCUUAGGCCUAGAACACACACGUAACGUUCGCUGUGAUUGUACCAACUUCUAUACAACUUUCCUUCCACUAUCAGCUGAUAUACUGCUGUUGAUGAAUCUGGAUAUUCAUUAUAUUCAGUAAAGCAAUGGUUCACAAUCUCAAACACAUAUGAUUAUCUACACUAAGUUUAAACUGGCAUUGUAUAGUUGUUGUAGUACAACUGUGUUGAAUAAAAUAUAGACACAAGUAUCAAGAUCAUUGCAAGUUCCCUAAGGCAUUUCUGUAAUGGUAAAAUGACUGACCAAAACCACUAUUUUUUACUAAAUCAGUCAUUUUUUUUUAAAUUAAUAAACACAUAAGCCUACAUGGUUAGUAGUUUUAUAUAUUUUUUUGGUUGGAUAAUGAUACGUAAAAUUUACAUAAUAAAACAUUUAGAACCAGCGUAAUACCAUUGACUAUGGUGUUUUCCACACAUUAAUAGUCUUAUCAGAAAAUGCAAUUUUAUUAACAUUUAAUUGAACUAAAAGUAGUUUUACAUUCUUAGAUCUAUUACCCACACAGAUUUUCUUCAUGUACUGGUAUUUGGAAUUUGUCUAAAUAAUUUCGUAAAAACAUGGGCCUAGUAUAUUGUUAGCUGUCGGUUAGUAUUUUACUGCAUUUUGUCUUGAUUUAAUGUUACUUAAAACAUUUUAUAAGCGGUGAAAGUAACAAAUCUAUCAGUGAUGAUAUAACAUAGUGUGUGUUUUAGGCUUUAGUCCAGAAGCUACUAUUGACAGUAACUAUUUUGGUUUUGAAUGAUAUUUCCCAUUUAUCAUGUCCAACUUUCGUGCCAGUAAAAAUGUUUUGAUCAAUGACUUUUCUAGCCAUUAAUCGUAACAUAGUAUUUCCUAACUGCCUUUGUUUUUUUUUUUCUUAAAGACUGAAAAUCUUUUGAAAUCUAAACCUGAAAGUGUUUCAAUUUAUAUUCAACCUUCUGCAAGUGAAGCACUGAUAUUUUUAAUAAAUCACUUUUAACCAUGUAUACACUUCUGAAGGGUUUUAUUAAUGGCCAUAAAAUAUCUAAACAAUAUACCUAUCUCUGUUAUAGUUGUUUAACAUAGUAUUUUCCACAUAAAUAUUAGUGUGUUAAUGUUAUGUGAUACAAGGAAUUUGAGUAUUGAUCUAGUAUUAAGUGAUUUAAGAGUCUUCUUCCUGCACCAGAAAAUAAAUCUUAGGGUUCUAAUAUGUAUUGUUAAAAAGGUGAAAUAUAGUUUUAAACACUAGAAUUUAAAAAUUAAGUUGUGCACUUAAAAGUUAUUAUUUAAUUUAAACUAACUCGGUGGAACUAUGACUAAACACCGGUUUAAAACUUCAAACCAUUAGUGUUUUAAAAAAACAAAAAUAGGGAUAUUAUGGUACUGUGAAAAAGCUAUAUCAUAAAAUCUACUUCACUUUUUUUCAAAAAGGUUCACUUCUGCAUUGAUUAAGCACGAGUCCACCGUAACUCAAAACUUCUUAUUUCAGUUUAAUAAGAACCUUAUUACAACAAUAACACGUUAUUGUAGAUUUUGUGUUAAAGAGACAUUAAAUGUUUCUUAUUUCAAGUGUUCAGAGUUAAAAAAUGCACAAAAUGCAUAAAAUGGAGCUUGAUUAAAAAUGUGCUAUAAAAAGUUAACUGUGUAUGAAAGUGCUCUUGUCCUAAAACUGGUUCACAAGAUCCUUUUUGUCUCUACAGUAUAUUGAGUGCAGGCCUAUUCUUUCUAUGAAGUAUUCUUUAAUUAUAAUAAUUUUUGACGCUUAAGUAAA